rnacentral:rRNA from 1 species
AGCUCCAAUAGCGUAUAUUAAAGUUGUUGCAGUUAAAAAGUUCGUAGUUGGAUCUCAGGUCCAGGCUAGCGGUACGCCUCGCGGCGGUCACUGCUCGUCCUGACCUACCAGCCGAUCUUCCGUCGGUGCUCUUCAUUGAGUGUCUUCGGCGGUCGGAACGUUUACUUUGAAAAAAUUAGAGUGUUCAAAGCAGGCGAGUCGCCUGAAUAAUGGUGCAUGGAAUAAUGGAAUAGGAUCUCGGUUCUAUUUUGUUGGUUUUCGGAACUCGAGGUAAUGAUUAAGAGGGACGGAGGGGGGCAUUCGUAUGGCGCCGUUAGAGGUGAAAUUCUAGGAUCGGCGCCAGACGGACUACUGCGAAAGCAUUUGCCAUGGAUGUUUUCA